AUGCCCCUUGGAGAAUAUUGUGCAGGCGGUCUUUGGCCAAGUUAUGGGAAUGUAGGCAUGGGCACUGGAGAAUAUGGUUUUGCGUCGCCUUCACAGACUCCGUUUUCUUUCGAAGUAUUAUCGGAAGCGACGAAUAAUUUCUCCGAGGAACGGUUGCUCCGUGAGGAAGGUCAGUUUAGUGCAUUCUACAAGGGGGACCUGACACAUUUAGGCAUCUCUGUAGCUGCUGCUGUGAAAUGGCUGAAAAUAAAGUCAGGACAGGCCUUUGCGGUGGAGAACUCCGUGAAGGAGUUUGCAACCAUCAGCCUAGCGAUCAGACAUCGCAACAUUGUGCCGUUCCUAGGUUGGUCCAGCGAGCAAGAUAAUCUAUGCCUGGUAUAUAAAUAUGUAAAGAACUGGAGCCUCCACGAUCAUCUCUACAGUCCCGGAAGACUUCUUACAUGGCCUACGAGGUACAAGAUAGUAUUUGCCAUAGGCUCCGGCCUUAAGCACCUCCAUCAGGACGUCCGCCCCACAUUCCCGCACGGCAACAUCAAACCAAGCAAUGUGUUGCUGGACGAAGAGAUGAACGCAAAGCUCGGCGAUUUCGGGCUGCCUCGGCACUUCUUUCAGUACGAUGGUGAAACCGCCUCUAGCUCAUAUCGACAAAUGCCGGUCAGCUCUCGAGGAUAUGUGGAACCUGGGUUACUCCACACGGAUCAGGCAACCACCUCGUCGGACGUCUACAGCUUCGGAGUUGUGCUGCUGGAGAUUGCGUGCGGUCAGCCGCCUAUUAUCCUCCAGCAAGACCAGGCUGAAGCAAAUAGCCUUGUUAAAUUCGUCUGGGAGUGCCACAAAAAGGGUUCGAUAAUUGAAGCAGCGGACAAGCGGCUGAAUGGCGAGUUCAACCGGGAGCAGAUGGAGCGCGUGUUGCGGGUUGGGCUCUUGUGUGCUCGCCGAGGCAGCAGCCAGCGCCUAUCCAUGGGCGACGCAAUGAUGUUGUUAGAGGGGGUUGGAUUUUGAUCCCCGCAGA
rnacentral:lncRNA from 1 species